AGAGUUUGAUCCUGGCUCAGGAUGAACGCUAGCGGCAGGCCUAAUACAUGCAAGUCGAACGGUAAGGCUCUAACUUGUUAGAGCACACGAGUGGCGCACGGGUGCGUAACGCGUAUGCAACCUACCUGUAACAGGGGGAUAGCCCUUUGAAAGAAGGAUUAAUACCCCAUAAUGUUUUUGAGAGGCAUCUCUCAAUUCCUAAAACUCCGGUGGUUACAGAUGGGCAUGCGUGACAUUAGUUAGUUGGUAAGGUAACGGCUUACCAAGACAGCGAUGUCUAGGGGUUCUGAGAGGAUUAUCCCCCACACUGGUACUGAGACACGGACCAGACUCCUACGGGAGGCAGCAGUAAGGAAUAUUGGGCAAUGGGCGAAAGCCUGACCCAGCCAUGCCGCGUGCAGGAUGACAGCUCUAGUAGUUGUAAACUGCUUUUAUACGAGAAGAAACCCCGCUACGUGUAGCGGGCUGACGGUAUCGUAAGAAUAAGGACCGGCUAACUCCGUGCCAGCAGCCGCGGUAAUACGGAGGGUCCAAGCGUUAUCCGGAUUCAUUGGGUUUAAAGGGUGCGUAGGCGGAUUUAUAAGUCAGUGGUGAAAGCCUGCAGCUUAACUGUAGAAUUGCCAUUGAUACUGUUUAUCUUGAGUUUAGUUGAAGUGGGCGGAAUGUGUCAUGUAGCGGUGAAAUGCAUAGAUAUGACACAGAACACCGAUAGCGAAGGCAGCUCACUAAGCUAAUACUGACGCUGAGGCACGAAAGCGUGGGGAGCGAACAGGAUUAGAUACCCUGGUAGUCCACGCCGUAAACGAUGAUUACUCGAUGUGUGCGAUAUAAUGUACGCGUCCAAGCGAAAGUGAUAAGUAAUCCACCUGGGGAGUACGUUCGCAAGAAUGAAACUCAAAGGAAUUGACGGGGGCCCGCACAAGCGGUGGAGCAUGUGGUUUAAUUCGAUGAUACGCGAGGAACCUUACCUGGGCUUAAAUGUAGAAUGGCGGAUUGGGAAACCAGUCUUUCUUCGGACGUUUUACAAGGUGCUGCAUGGCCGUCGUCAGCUCGUGCCGUGAGGUGUCGGGUUAAGUCCCAUAACGAGCGCAACCCCUAUUUCUAGUUGCCAGCGGAUAAUGCCGGGGACUCUAGAGAAACUGCCCGCGCAAGCGGAGAGGAAGGUGGGGAUGACGUCAAAUCAUCACGGCCCUUACGUCCAGGGCUACACACGUGCUACAAUGGUCGGUACAAAGGGCAGCUACCUGGUGACAGGAUGCUAAUCUCUAAAGCCGAUCUCAGUUCGGAUCGAAGUCUGCAACUCGACUUCGUGAAGUUGGAAUCGCUAGUAAUCGAAUAUCAGCCAUGAUUCGGUGAAUACGUUCCCGGGCCUUGUACACACCGCCCGUCAAGCCAUGGAAGCCGGGGGUACCUGAAGUCAGUAACCGCAAGGAGCUGCCUAGGGUAAAACUGGUAACUAGGGCUAAGUCGUAACAAGGUAGCC
rnacentral:rRNA from 1 species